GACGAGGGGGGGCUAGUGUUAUUCGGCAUAAUUGGGCGUAAAGGGCAUGUAGGCCGCAAUUUAAGUUUUAAGUCAAAAACCAGAGCUCAACUUUGGCAAAAGGCUUUUAGUACUGGAUUGCUUUGAGUUAUAGAAAGGUUUGUAGAAUUUUUGGAGAAAGCGAUAAAAAUGUUGAUCUCAGAAAGAAUACCAACGGCGAAGGCAGCAAGCUAUCUAUAAACUGACGCUGAUAUGCGAAGGUAUGGGGAGCAAACAGG
rnacentral:rRNA from 1 species